rnacentral:rRNA from 1 species
UGGAGCCUACGGGAGGCAGCAGUAGGGAAUCUUCCACAAUGGGCGAAAGCCUGAUGGAGCAACGCCGCGUGGGUGAAGAAGGUCUUCGGAUCGUAAAACCCUGUUGUUAGAGAAGAAAGUGCGUGAGAGUAACUGUUCACGUUUCGACGGUAUCUAACCAGAAAGCCACGGCUAACUACGUGCCAGCAGCCGCGGUAAUACGUAGGUGGCAAGCGUUAUCCGGAUUUAUUGGGCGUAAAGAGAACGAAGGUGGUUUUUUAAGUAUGAUGUGAAAGUCUU